UCCCUGAUAGCUCAGUGGUAAAGAAUCUGCCUCCAAUGCAGGAGACCUGGGUUCAAUCCCUGGUCUGGGAA